GAAUGAAGAACGUAGCGAAAUGCGAUACGUAAUGUGAAUUGCAGAAUUCAGUGAAUCAUCGAAUCUUUGAACGCAUAUUGCGCUCUCUGGUAUUCCGGAGAGCAUGCUUGUUUGAGUAUCAGUAAACACCUCAACUUCCAUAUCUUUUUUGAAAUGGGAGUUGGACUUGAGUGAUCCCAACGCUUUUCCUCACCGAAAAGUGGCGGGUUACUUGAAAUGCAGGUGCAGCUGGACUUUUCUCUGAGCUAUAAGCAUAUCUAUUUAGUCUGCCUAAAAAACAGAUUAUUACCUUUGCUGCAGCUAACAUAAAGGAGAUUAGUUCUUGUGCUGACUGAUGCAGGAUUCACAAAGACGGCUUCGGCCGACUUUGUAAACUCGAUCUCAAAUCAAGUAAGACUACCCGCUGAACUUAAGCAUAUCAAUAAGCGGAGGA
rnacentral:misc_RNA from 1 species